rnacentral:lncRNA from 1 species
GUGCAUUCGUCGCACGCAGCUAGAUCGUCAUCUUCAGUUUGCCGGUCCAGACUUGCUUUUGCACAGCCGAAUCGCUCGUCGUCAUCGGGCAUUCGCUAUUCGUCAAUUCGCCGCUAUUUCCUUUCAAGUAACCGAAGCAGAGCCACGUGUGUCAACUAUACCUGUAGGUUCGUAGCGGCAUCAGUUCAAAAUAUAGAUCGCCGUGUUCAGUUUGUGUAACAUGAUUUGGUAAACAAGCUUAAAUUUGAUAAUUGAUGGAAUCCCGGCGCCCUCGCGAGAUAUAGCCAUACAGAGCAAGAAGCAGAAGAAAAGGAUAAUUAAUAUAAUAAUCGUAAACGCGUGGCUCGACGUAAAAAUUGCUUAUUGAAGUAACAGCAGCCGGUGAAUAUCGAAGCUGAUUACAGAAACCAACUUCAACAACGUUGAUAGACGUGGUUUACUGGAUUGAAAGACCCGGUCACUAAAUCUUAAAAAACAUUAUGUGGAACAGACUACGGCAAGAUUGAUUGUCAUUACAAGUGAAUAUCUAUAUUAAGUGGUUCUAGCAAUCAAUGCUGGAAAACAAAAUGCAGAUGCUGAGCACGUCAGAAUCUUGUAGAAGAACGAAAAAUAGAUACUUUUGAAAUCAUUCCUGAUUAUACUAUGAUCCUACUUUCACUUUGAGGGACAGACUACAUCGCAGCACUAUUGACCGCUUCGAGCAAUGAUCUGAACUAAGUAACCCGAUCAAUCGAUGUUCGAGAACAAAGUGAAGAGUAAACCAACUGCUACAGUGAAGACAAU